UGAACAGGAAUAUGAAGCCAAGCUGGCCCCAUCUGUUGGUGGAGAGCCAACAAGCGGGGGCCCAUCUGGUUCUUCACCUGAUCCAAAUCCAGAUUCCAGCGAGGUUUUGGACAGGCACGAGGACCAAGCCAUGAGCCAAGAUCCAGGCUCCCAAGAUAACUCACCACCAGAAGACCGAAACCAACGCGUGGUCAACGUGGAAGACAACCACAACCUUUUUAGGCUCUCCUUCCCAAGAAAGCUUUGGACGAUUGUGGAGGAAGACACAUUCAAGUCUGUGAGCUGGAACGAUGAUGGAGACGCCGUGAUCAUCGACAAGGAUCUCUUCCAGAGGGAGGUUCUUCAACGGAAAGGUGCAGAGAGGAUCUUCAAAACAGACAGCUUGACGAGUUUCAUUCGCCAGCUGAACCUCUAUGGAUUCUGCAAAACACGCCCAAGCAACUCUCCAGGAAACAAGAAAAUGAUGAUCUACUGCAACUCCAAUUUUCAGAGAGACAAGCCCAGGCUCCUGGAGAAUAUCCAGAGAAAGGAUGCCCUCAGAAACACCGCUCAGCAAGCGACCCGUGUCCCAACUCCAAAGAGAAAGAAUCUGGUAGCUACAAGACGCUCCCUACGUAUCUAUCACAUCAAUGCCAGGAAAGAAGCAAUCAAAAUGUGUCAGCAGGGAGCCCCCAGUGUUCAGGGGCCCAGUGGCACCCAGUCCUUCAGGCGCUCUGGCAUGUGGUCCAAGAAGAGUGCCACUAGGCAUCCCCUGGGAAAUGGGCCCCCUCAGGAACCAAAUGGCCCAAGUUGGGAGGGCACCUCUGGGAAUGUCACAUUUACAUCUUCGGCUACUACCUGGAUGGAAGGCACAGGGAUUCUUAGUAGUCUGGUUUACUCAGAUAAUGGUAGUGUAAUGUCUUUGUACAAUAUCUGUUACUAUGCUCUGUUGGCCUCCCUCUCAGUCAUGUCUCCAAAUGAGCCCUCUGACGAUGAGGAGGAGUAGGAAGGCUCCUCAGAUUACAAGUGUAGACUCUGUGAACAGUUCAGAAACACUGCAAAUUCGUGAAGUCACAGGCCACUAAUGGCCCAUAAAAGUUGCCAUUUUUUAAUGAGAAACACAUUUUUGGUCUUAAUAAAGAAAAACAAAAUUCCAUGGAAAUAAAUAAUAAACAAUUUAAAUGAGAA
rnacentral:lncRNA from 1 species